UGAUUUUGCAAAUUUAUCAUUACUAUUGAUAAAUACUAUUACAGGCUCACAUUUUCCCAUGGCCUCAAUUAUUAUCAUAAGAUCAUCCAAAAUUUAUAUUUAAUUAUAACAGACUAGAAUAAUUAUAGAAAUUUACAUAUCGGUUCAAUAUUACACAAAUAACUAUUCUAAUGAAUUACAGUCAUCCUUGAGCUUCCAUUACACUAUGUUUAAACUAUAUAGUCGUGAAACUCAUUGUCCAAAGAAAGACCUUUACUAUCUCAUACUCAACAUGCUUCCAUGUAUUUCCAUCUUCCUUAAAGUCAUAUUCGAGCUUGAAAGCAUGCAAUAAACCAAAGGUGAUUUGAUAACCAAUAACAAUUAUUCUUGUGAAGAGAUCAAUCUAAUCUAGACAAACAUCUAAUAAUAGGUCAGGUUUUCAGUAAAAUUAAUAUCAACAAUUGCACACGUCUAGGUUCCCAUAUGGCAUAUUCAAACACAAUUAUCACAUAUGAGAGUAACAGAUCAAUAGAAUCAGGCAAACAGUUAGCAAUUUUGAUCAUUUUUGAUCAUUCACUGAUAUUGGAAUGAGCCAUAUAAAGGCAGAUGUUGGAAUGAGAUUUGAACUGACCUAACUGAACAAGGAAGAUGUUGGAAUGAGCCACAUAAAAGCAGAAAACCAGUUCAACGAGCUCAGCAAAGUAGAUACAACAACUCCAAAUAGAAAACGGCAGAGAAUCAACAUACAACUUCAAACUUCCAAAUCAAAACCCUCUUGAGAAAACCCCAAAAAUCAAUUGAAAAAACCUAGCCAAAAUUAGAAACAGUUUGAAAUUCCUUUUUUUUUUUGUAUUUUGGGAGUUUUUGUUUUCUGCAGAUUUGGAGCUUCUUUUUUUUUUUUUGAUUUUUUUUCAGAAUUUCUAGCUACUGAUGUGUUUUCUAUUCGUGAAGGUAAGAGAGUGCGGGUGAUAAAUAUCAGAGUGUGAGAAGGAAUAUCUGUGAAAAUGCAGAAUGAAUGUGUGUGUGAAUAAUCAGUGAAUGAGUGGGUUGUUAUAUAGAAUAUUCUAACGACCGUCCAUUCUAUUAUCUCUCUUUCUUUCCAGCCCCUUUUUCUGUAUUUUAACCUUUAAGUCCCAUUUUGACCUAAUUUUUAUUAUUUUAUUGCUUUUUAGUCCUUAACCCUCUCUUCUAGAAACACCCUAGACAGUUAACAUAAUGAUUACCUAAGUUUUCUUAUUUCCUUGAGCUCCCUCAAGAUUUUGUUAAUACAACUUCUUUUAACCUUUUCUUUUAUCUCAACAUUUAUCCCAAAUCUACUGCUCUUCUUCACUUAACAACAAUAAAUUUUUAUCACACAACAAUUAACCAUACCAAAUUAAUACAAACUAAACGUGAAUCAAAUGAAUCAACAAUUGACUAAGCAUGUUAAUUAAACAAAUAUACAAUUUAAACUAAUCAAUUCAAAUAGAAAAUGACUCUAAACCUCUAGACUUAAAUAACUAAACAAAAUCGGACAUCGUAAAGAAUCACAAGGUUGAAAACAGUAAAAGAAAAAAAGAAAGAAAUAAAUUAUACCUAUUUGAACUCGAGAUAAAACAAAAGGGGUGACCUCAGUCAGGUUCUUGCCGGACAACGACUGGUUGACCAAAAUAUGACCUCUAAGAAACAGACUGAGUUUUACAUCAAUGGAUAAAUCUCAUCAAGAGAUCUCAACUGAUGUAAAUUCCAACCGUAAAGAGGAAAAUUAGUCGAGAAAUUGAAAAGGGGGCAAGUGGCGGCUAGGGUUUGGUUUCAUAGAUCUACAAACAAAAACGGGAAGGUUUUGAAGGGAAAGGUUAAUGGAUUUGGAAAGAGGAGAGGGUGGGGAUUAUUUGGUGAAAGUUUGAGGUUAUUGGCGAUUUCCGGCGGCAAAGACGACGGGGAGUGAGCGAUGUAAGAUGAGAGACGACUUGAGA
rnacentral:lncRNA from 1 species